rnacentral:tRNA from 1 species
AAUUUAUUAAUAUAAAUAAGUAUAUAUAACUUCCAAUUAUAAAGAUAAAUUA